rnacentral:misc_RNA from 1 species
GAUGAAGAACGUAGCGAAAUGCGAUAAGUAAUGUGAAUUGCAGAAUUCAGUGAAUCAUCGAAUCUUUGAACGCACAUUGCGCCCCUUGGUAUUCCGGGGGCAUGCCUGUUCGAGCGUCAUUUCAACCCUCAAGCUCAGCUUGGUAUUGAGUCCAUGUCAGUAAUGGCAGGCUCUAAAAUCAGUGGCGGCGCCGCUGGGUCCUGAACGUAGUAAUAUCUCUCGUUACAGGUUCUCGGUGUGCUUCUGCCAAAACCCAAAUUUUCUAUGGUUGACCUCGGAUCAGGUAGGGAUACCCGCUGAACUUAAGCAUAUCAAUAAGCGGAGGA